AAUAGAGGAGCUUAGGCUAAGAACUUCACAUCCUGUGAAAAUGCUAAGUGACCAACAUUAAGCUGA
rnacentral:sRNA from 1 species